GAUGAACGCUGGCGGCGUGCCUAAUACAUGCAAGUCGAGCGGAGAGGGCACGGGGGAGUAAAACGUGGGGAAACUCCUAUAAGGCUGGGAUAACUUCGGGGAAACGGAGCUUAACCCGCUAAUGAUCGCUGGAUCCACGCUGCAUUAGCUAGUUGGUAAGGUAACGGCGUACCAAGGCAACGAUGCAUAGCCGACCUGAGAGGGUGAUCGGCCACACUGGAACUGAGACACGGUCCAGACUCCUACGGGAGGCAGCAGUAGGGAAUAUUCCGCAAUGGGCGAAAGCCUGACGGAGCAACGCCGCGUGAGUGAUGAAGGUCUUCGGGUCGUAAAACUCUGUUAUUAGGGAAGCGUUACCCAAUGAGAAAGCCACGGCUAACUACGUGCCAGCAGCCGCGGUAAUAC
rnacentral:rRNA from 1 species